UCCUCUGUAGCUCAGCGGUAGAGCAACCGGCUGUUAACCGGUAGGUCACUGGUUCGAAUCCAGUCGGGGGAGCCA
rnacentral:tRNA from 1 species